rnacentral:rRNA from 1 species
GGGGAAUAUUGCGCAAUGGGGGCAACCCUGACGCAGCAACGCCGCGUGCGGGACGAAGGCCUUCGGGUUGUAAACCGCUUUCAGCAGGGAAGACAUCGACGGUACCUGCAGAAGAAGCCCCGGCUAACUACGUGCCAGCAGCCGCGGUAACACGUAGGGGGCGAGCGUUAUCCGGAUUCAUUGGGCGUAAAGCGCGCGCAGGCGGCGCGCCAAGCGGGACCUCUAAUCUGGGGGCUCAACCCCCAGCCGGGUCCCGAACUGGCGCGCUCGUGUCCGGUAGGGGAGGUCGGAAUUCCCGGUGUAGCGGUGGAAUGCGCAGAUAUCGGGAGGAACACCGAUGGCGAAGGCAGACCUCUGGGCCGCGACAGACGCUGAGGCGCGAAAGCGUGGGGAGCAAAC